rnacentral:lncRNA from 1 species
AGUCAGUGUGCCCAGGGAAAAGGAGUUUCAGAUUUAGAAGACAUGAAGUGGUGAAUGUUGUGUAUGUCAGUCUGUGCCUGGAGAGCUCUCAGCAUGAUGAAAUGCUACUGCACUGAACUAUGAGGAGCAAACCUUCCCAGAAGAGAAGACUAAAGGGGAAGUUUAUUUCAAGUCUUUGAAAACUUGUUCCCCAUAUCAUCCAACUGAAAGUCUUGCCCAGGGAACUCUACUCCUGGUACCAGACAUGGUUGCUCUUCACUUGCUGGUCAUGUCUGGUUAGGCGGAUUCAACCUUAACCUAGAGUGUCCAUUCUCAACCUGUGGGUUGUGAUCUCAUUGGCAAACCACUACCUGCAAUAACAUAUACAUUAUGAUUCAUAAGAGAAAUGGCUUCACGGAUGCUUCUCACCUUAUUUGUUCAGUGGAACUCACACACUGCCCAAGCCUGUCUAUGGUCCUCCAAGAAGACUCCAGUUCCCUUCUCUUCUCUCAGGCCCCUGGGACAUGCAGUACCCUGAAGCCUGGCCUGGUGUCACAACAGAACCACGGUGAAUGCUUGCCCGUGUCUUCAGUUAUAGGGUGAUUCAUUCAGCCAAUGUCUCCAGUCCUAGUAAACUUUGCUGCGACCUGCUUGGAGGUUUUCAUUCUGACAUAAUUCUGGAAUUAUCUUUUUCUUCAUAAAGACAGUCAUUACUAUCAGAAAAGAAA